rnacentral:rRNA from 1 species
CAGCAGCCGCGGGAAUACGAAGGGUGCAAGCGUUGUCCGGAAUUAUUGGGCGUAAAGGGCUCGCAGGCGGUUUCUUAAGUCUGAUGUGAAAGCCCCCGGCUCAACCGGGGAGGGUCAUUGGAAACUGGGAAACUUGAGUGCAGAAGAGGAGAGUGGAAUUCCACGUGUAGCGGUGAAAUGCGUAGAGAUGUGGAGGAGCACCAGUGGCGAAGGCGACUCUCUGGUCUGUAACUGACGCUGAGGAGCGAAAGCGUGGGGAGCGAACAGGAUUAGAUACCCCGGUAGUCCCUGUCUCUUAUAC